rnacentral:lncRNA from 1 species
AUGGAAUUUUCCUAUUUUGUAUUUUAGCCGGAAAAAACGUACGGUGACCCUAUCUUUUCUUUUGAUAUUCUCAAAGCAGUGUCUGAAAGCUAUCUUUUCCUGAAGUAUUUAACAAUUCUAUUAUUUUGUUUAGUUUCUAAUCACAAAAUGGUAUUUUUUCCUGUAUAAUCCAUACAAAAUGUGUCAUUUUGUCCCGUCCUGUAGCUUGAGAAA